ensembl:lncRNA
AUAAAUGCUGCUAAACAGAUUUGGAAAAACGUUAUACUAUCUGUGUUUUUUGUGAAUCUUUUAUGUAUUAAAAAGAAGAAAAAAUCAGAAGUGCUGCGUGGCUCUCCAUGCUGUAAUGUAUUGCUAUUUCCACAGGUUUCCCAAGGGGACGCUACUGAGAAGCUGGCUCACCAAGUCGCGGCCCAGGUUGCUGCUGCUGAUCGCAGGCUUGAAGAGGCCUCAGGUGACCCUCAUGAGGCGGAAAAGGAUGAAGCGCACAAAAGUAGCAAAGGCCACGUAAGCGAACCUGGAACCGAAUGCCCCACUUCACCUGAGUCCUUAAAGGACAGGAUGUACUUCCUGGAUACGGAAGAGAAAGAAAAGGAAGACUUGUGUGUUGGAUCUUUGCCCCAGCAACGAACUAAUAUCAGAGAACCACAAAACAGAAUGAAGCUAGAGGAUAAACCACACAGACUGAAACCUCCAGACUGAUCGUUAUUAGACCUAGACCUGGACUACCAACUUCACCUGUUUCUUCAAAUAUGCAUCUGUUUUGGCUCAUGAGACACUAAUGGUGGUAGCUUCUAAAUUAUUCUACAUUAUUCCUGUCCAGAGAAUAACUCUUAGUAGAACAAAUACAGCUGACAUUGUGUUCAUACCCUGCUGUCUAAACUUUUUGAUGGGCAUCAACUCUUGCUUCACAUUCUUCUGUCAGAUUAAAACUUUUCAAUUAGCUCAUUUCCACAAAGUACGGAGCCCUACAAACCAAGAAAAUGUGAACAUCAGCACAUUCAUAUAUAGAUGAUUUACAAAUUUCUCCGUUUCUAGACUGAGAAACGGGACCUAAAAAUAAAUUUACUAGUCAUGUCUAUAAUCACAACAUUGCCAAUAAUAAAGCAAAUAAUAAAGUUGCUUAAUUACUUAUGCUGUCAUUGCAAGACACGCACUUAAGUAACAUUAAGUUGUUACCUGACUAUUAGAGGAACAUUUGCAGACUACAUCCUAUAGGUUUUAGGCAAAUUUGGGAGGACAAGUCUUUUUCAUAUUUCCAUAGAAAAAGCUUUGGAACCUUACAUAAGCACCUUGAGGCAACUUGCUGUGAUUUGGUACUAUAUGGAAUAAAAUGGAAUUGAGUUGAAUUACUUUUCCUGACAUAAUAAAAUCCUCUCACAACAUCAGAAAAUUUAAAUUUGUGAGGUGUUCUCUGCUUGAGUAAUAAAUCUACAGUCCUUAUUGUAACAACAGAUCCAUUCAGAAAUAAAAUAUCAUACAGUAGAAGGUAUGAGCUCUGAGAAAUGGUCUUACUGAAGUGUGGUGUAGUGAUGUGCUUACUUUGAAUAAAAUUUCAGUAAAUGGGUAUUAAAAAAAGGAUAUGUCCUUCAAUGCAACAUAUCUAGGACUGCUUUCUUCCAUUUGCGCAAUAUAUAUCAAAUUUGAAAUGAAGCUGAAAAAAUAGUUCAUGCAUUUAUUACUUCUAGGCUGGAAUUCUGAAAUGUGUUAUUAUCCCAAUGUCCUAAAAACUUAUUGAAAAGCCUUUGGUUAAUCCAAAAUGCUGGAGCAAGACUACUGACAGGCUAAAAAGACAGAGCAGAAAAAAUACAGAAAUGAACUUAAAAUCCUGCUCCUCACAAACAAGCUGAUGAAUAAUCAGGCCUUAUCUUGUCAUAAUAGCUUUAUAGUGCAAUAUCACCCCAUUAGAGCACUUCCCUCUCAGACUGCAGGCUUACUAGUGGUUCCUAGAGUAUUUAAAAGUAGAAUGGGAAUGGGAGAAAGUAGAAUGGGAGGCAGAGCCUUCAGCUUCAGGGCCCUCUUCUGUUGAACCAGGUUUCCAGUUAGGAUAUAGAACACCCUCUAUACUUUUAAGAUUAGGCUUAAAACUUUCCUUUUUGAUUAAGCAUAUAGUUAGGGCUGGAUCAGGUGACCCUAAAUCCUCACUCAGUUACUCUGGAAUAUGUCUGCUGGGGGAUUCCUCAUGCUGGGGAUGCAUUAAGUGUUUUUUCUUCAGUCCUCUUUUUCACCUCACUAUGUGUGCCAUUAUUAGUUAUUAUUAGUUCCUGUCUCUCUUCCACAGCAUGUCUUUUGUCCUGUUUUUCUCCUCUCCCCAAGCAGCCACAUCAGAUGGCCACUACUCCUUCAGCCGGGUUCUGCAGGAGGUCGCCAAAGUAUUUGCUCAUAGAAGGUCAUUAGAUUGUUAAGAUUUUCUCUGUUUCUUUGUGUUAUUGUAGGGUCUUUACCUUACAAUAUCAAGCACCUUGAGGCAGCCGUUGUUGUGAUGUGGUGCUGCAUAAAUAUAAUCAAAUUGAAUUGUAUUGAAAAGGAGAGGGGGUUAGAAACAUUGUGGGCAAAUAGGUUUUCAAGUAGUUUGAACUAAGAGUUAGUGAUGUGUGAUACUGAUUUCCUUCUAAUCUGAUACCAAGUAACUUCAUGUGCUUUGAAAAUCAAAAUAAAAAAGUGUAUUUCAAAUUAUACCUUGAAUAAAAGACAUCAUACUACUUGUUCUUAUUUUUUUAAUUAUGAAGAAUUAUCAUAAAAGAAAUAAAAAAAUCUGAAAAGUCAAUGCUUAUAUUUUAAAAUAUUUAAUUAACAAUCACUCAAAACACAUGUGACUGAUUGAAAAUAAUAAUAAAGCUGAGAAACAUUUUAUAGAUACAUGUCAUCAUCUUACUAUCUUAUGUAUUGAGUAUUUUUCAAGUUGUAUUUUUUUUUAAACCCUAAACCUUGUUUUACUCCAUGUACGCUGUAUAUUUUAACGACACCUAGCCUUUAUAAUCCACUUUAAACCUUACCUGACUAAAUCUAAGCCAAUUGGAUUGAUGUGAGGUGAUCUCUGGGACACACUCGAAUCUAAACUCAUACAGUUUUGAAUUAUAGCAUGUAUUUAUUUAAUUACUUAUUUCAUAACCAUGUUAAUUAGUGUACAUUUGAACAAAUGGGAAUUCAGUAGUUUUAAGGAUGAGGUGAAUUAACAUUACCAAAAAUCGACACAAAAACCUAAGCCUAGACAUAAAUCAUUUUCCAAAAUUUAUCAACAAUGCUACACGUCACCAACAGCUCCACAUUUUCUCCCUCUGUACCUGGAUAGUGCAAUUUCAGACUCGCCCUUUGCAGCACCUGUCCCUCUCCUUCUCUUCAGUUCGCCUCAUCAUAAUCUCAUCAUAUUCGGUGUUAUAAUUUGCUUUUGAUAGUAUAUGACAAGGUUUGUGGUUUUGCCACAUGUCACAAACCAAGUCUUGGCUGUUUAUGGAGCUGAAAAAGCUCCACUUAUGUCUCUGCUUAUGAUCAGCCAUUAUUGUCAACUGAGGGAUUGAACGCACAUAAGCCUUGAUGCAUUUAUACAUACAUAUUUCACAUAUCACAAUGACAGAGGAAGAAGUAGUUCCUACCAAUCAUUUAGACUUUCCAAAUAAUAUAUUUAUUUUCCACUGUGUUCCUGUUAACUACAACCAAAUUUAUCCCAAAUUACCACAAUAUUAAUAUUUUAAUAUAAGAAUCCGUUGUAGAACAAAAAAUAUCUGGAUCAAUCGAAUUAAUAUUUCAGUAUCGAUUCGAUUCGAUUUUAAAAGUGAGAACACUGUCAUUUUAACACAUUAAUCUCUGUUAAGGAUUCCUAGGGUAGACACCUGUCACAAUCGCUCGUUCUAGGUGAAAUAAAGGCUCUUUAUGCAUCUUCACAAAGAAAGGUUUGAUUCAUUAAGAGGCUGAAAACAGUUUUCUGCUAGUAAACUAUAGGAGAUAGAAUAAACUUCUUGUGCAAAUACAUUUUCAAGCAGUUUGAACUGAGAUUUUAAAAUUAUACUCAAAAUGAAAAAGAAACUGACAAAUUUCUGGGAGAACAGUGUUGUUUCAACACAUGAACCGCUGUUAAGGAUUCCUAACAUAUAACCUAUCAGACUUUCUUGUUCUAGGUAUAAUAAAAGGGUUUUUAUAGACCAUCAUGCAUCAAAAAUGUUUAAUUCUUGGAGUAAGAGGCUGACAAACAGUUUUCUGCUAGUCAACUAGGAGAUAGAAUAAACUUUGUGGGCAAAUAGGUUUGCCAGCAGAUGAACUAAGAUUUUCAAAUGACUUAAAAUGACAAUAUUUAGUGUUUUCUAUGAGAACAGUGUCAUUUCAAUACAUUUACUGCUGUUAAGGAUUCCUAGUGCAUAAAUUUGUAUUGUAUUAUAUUGUGGUCCUAUUUGAUAUUGUAGUAAAGUGAUUACUAUUUCU